CCUACGGGAGGCAGCAGUGAGGAAUAUUGGUCAAUGGGCGGAAGCCUGAACCAGCCAAGUAGCGUGCAGGAUGACGGCCCUACGGGUUGUAAACUGCUUUUAUACGGGAAUAACGCGCCUUACGUGUAGGGCUUUGCAUGUACCGUAUGAAUAAGGACCGGCUAAUUCCGUGCCAGCAGCCGCGGUAAUACUGAAGGUCCGGGCGUUAUCCGGAUUUAUUGGGUUUAAAGGGAGCGUAGGCCGCCUGUUACACGUGCGGUGAAAUGUCCGGGCUCAACCCGGGCCUUGCAGGGGAACCUGGCGGGCUUGAGUCCGCGGAAAGCAGGAGGAAUGCGUCGUGUAGCGGUGAAAUGCUUAGAUAUGACGAAGAACCCCGAUUGCGAAGGCAGCUUGCUGCAGCGGAACUGACGCUGAUGCUCGAAAGCGCGGGUAUCGAACAGGAUUAGAUACCCCAGUAGUC
rnacentral:rRNA from 1 species